UUCGUUGGAGAAUAUUUUCACUUUUUUUCCCUUUUGUACAAUAAAAUUCUCAAACACAGAUCUCCUCUCUCUCUUUUUCUCUCUCUCCCUCUCUCUCUCUCUUCUUACACCUUAGAUUAGCACCCGGCAGAUACCCCGUCAUUAUUCUGCAUGAUAAUCUCAGCAUGAGUCAUUUGCAGAGGUGCUGGAGCAUAUUCACAGGGAUAAAUGGAUGUAAAGAGGUUGUGUUAGAGUGUGUGUGUGUGUGUGUGUGUGUGUGUGUUCAGUAGAUAAUGGAUUUUCUAAUCUUUCCAGAGGCCUCCACCUCUGAAUGUCCAGUAUUCAGCUCCUCUCACAUCUUACUCCCAUUGAAUCACAUUAAGCCGACUCAUUUUUCACAGGAAACUGAAAAUACGCCCGUCUGCCGCUGGGACCUUUAUCUCAUGAGUAGGGAAUGCCUUUAAUGGGCUGCUUUACUCGGGGUUGUAAAUCACAGCGAGAGGAAACGUCUGCUCACUCGCUGGAAACCGUCUCUCCUGAGCGGAGCUACAUGAUGUUGUGUAUCGCAGGUUAACGGCUCGUAAUGACGAAUAAUCUCUUUCUGUCGUGUGUUUUAACUCAUCAGUCAGAGAGUCGCAGGAUCCCCACACUUUAAUAGCUUCUCUGAAGAAACACUUUCAUGUCACACUAAUUGUUCCCAGAGUGAAAAUCAACAAGAAGUCAGACGCUGAGAAGACAUCCAUCCAGAGAUGAGGGAUUCAAAGAGGGCCGGUCGCCUUCUGAAGAUACAGACGAGAAGAAGACGUGAGAAAAUUCUGCCUUCGACUGUCAGCUCAGCGCUAAAAUUACCAACUUUAGCAACGACCGCAGGAUAGAAAUACAGAGAGCCACGCCCCCAACCAAAACGCCACUCUAUAGCCACAAAUAAUGCUCAGAACAGCACCUAACUUCAUCAACAGGACAUAUAGGGUCACAGCCAUAGUACUAGACACCAAACAUCUUUUUAACUUUGACUCAUUUCUUUAUAAAGAGACUAAACACAACUCACCUACUCUCUUCCAGCAGACGCUUGUUUGUAGAGAGACCUCAGGCCAGUCUGUUACAGACUACAGCGGGGUGCCGCAGCUCAAGGAGGAACAUUUAUGAUCAUUUCUUCAUGGAAAUACAAUCAGACCCAGACGCUAAGACAGAAGAACUACAGCGUCUGUAAAAUGAUUAAUAUGAUGAUUAUUACUUCAAGGAAAUGAUAAAGAAACGGUACAGAUGACUCCGUACCUCGGACCCUCUGUAUAGUGACACAGCGGGCCGUGGUACAGAUAACUGGUUCAGCAUCUUCAGGAUGAACGUGUGAGUUUCACACGCAGAGUUUUCUUGGUGCCUCAUCUGAGAUGGAGAGAAAACGGCUUCAAACAGGGACAGGGAGGAUGGGAGGAUCUCAUGUUGUGUGACGGUCUGACAUUAGUGCUGUUACAUAACUGUGACCUCCAGCUGUGCCUUUGCUGACUCUUGUACAGUAACACCCCCCCGCCCUUCCAUCUCUGCUGCAGACACGCACCCAGCUUGGUGGACAAACACAGACCAGUAUGUUCCUCUGAUUGGUUGUUGCUGUGGGCUGAAACGGGGACAGUGACGCUCUUUAACAUGAAAAAGCAGAAACGUGUGUUUGGUAGAGAAGAGAGGAGGAUAAUUUUCUGAGAUCAUCUUCAAUCACUGAGAAGAUUUUGUAGUUAAAGACCAACUCCAAAGAAAAUCCUGUUUUUCUUGUUGUCUACAUGUUCAUUUUUCUGAUGCACAAGAACAUAUCAUGAAAAAAAUACGAGCAAAAUUGCAUCUCUGAGUAUUUCUUCAGUCAAAUGGCUGUGAAUCUCUCACAGACCCAAACGGCAGGUUCAGACACAGUCAGUCCGUUUCCAUGACACUCGAGAAAACUGAAUUAUCGCCUUACUCCAAAUAAGACCGGACAAAUGAAGGGCAUGUAAACACCUUAGUCCGACUAUAAUCAGAGUUUGAGAAGAAUUCGAUUUUCUCUACCAUGUAACCAGCGUAGUCGGAGUAUGAUUAAACAGUGCACAUGAGCCACGCCCCCAUAACCCCGGAACAGAAAUCCCAGAGUAGAGGAGUAGCGUUGGUCUCCUCUUUAGAAAAAGUAGCGCGUCCAUCAUGUCGGACAAAAACAACGCUGUACGAUGCUCCAUCUUCUUGUUUCUCCAAAAUGCCCAGCAGCAGUUGUAGACACUUCUGACAUCUCACACAGAAACAGCGCAGCUGAAAAGACCCAUAUCGCCCCCUAGUGUUGGGGAGGAGGACACGUUCAUGUCAAUAAUUCAAUUUUCUCAGCUGCAUGUUUACGAGGACGAGGAGAGAAGUCUGAUUCAGAGAAAAAGACGAAUUAUGAGCUUAGUCCGAUUAAACUGUGCAUGUAAACAAACUGAGUGAGAUUUCCCACAUCACAAAUCCAAGCUCCGCCCCUGAAGCCCUGCUAUGCAGGCCAGACUUUGAAAAAUAUAGGAGACAAUCGCAGAACAAGCGUGUGCGUUAGCAGAUUGUAAUACUCAUAAGAAAGCUAAUUAUGAUAUUAAUUGUCAUCAUGUCCCCAAAGACGUUAGUGCCUCAGAGCUGAAUAUCUCCUGUUACCUGCUACUUUUACUACACCUAGUCGAGUGUUCAGAGCAGCGCUGACUCCGCCCACAAUUUAGAGGCGAAUUGCUAAUGAGCUGCUGGAGCUCUGCAGAAAAAAGACCUUGAAAAUGACACAGGUAACGUGAUUUUAGCUAAAAACUUAAGACCACUGAGAGAACACUUUCCUAUCAAACAAAAACUGUACAGAAUUUUUCCAUCGUUCAACUAACAAAGGUGUAUUAUUGUUCGGAUAUUUAACAGGUCAACCAAGAGAUGACCGAUUCGUGACGAUCUCAUCAUGUAGAGUUCUGACAGCUGUCAGAAAGAGCUCCACGUCUGCAGAGGAACUGCAUGUUGCUGAAUCAGAGUCUAAACCUCCUCCUCUCUCUGAAAUCAGCCUCGUCUUAUCUGGUGAAACUCAUAUCUCAGAAUUAAUGGUUCUUCAGCUGCUCUCUCUCUCUCUCUCUCUCUCUUAUCAGAGGAACUCUGGGAAAAAGCAGCUGAAUAGAGUUAAAUUUUAUUUAUAAGUCAGUCGGCCCUAAAGUGUGAGACUUUAGCUGAUUAAAGCGUCUGCUGGUGUGCGAUCAUCAGCGGGUCUGUGUGAAGUCGGAGCUGAUCCGUGACUCACGGGGAGCUCUGUCAGGUUGAUGUGAUUGAGCUGCACAGCGGAGGGACAAUCAACGGAGAUUCAAACAUCCGACAACAUCAACCCCGAAGUUUAGAGAGAGCCGAAGACGUCAGAGUCAGAUCGAUCCAAACAAACAAACCAACACCUGCAGACACAAACGCUGAGAGGGUUUCAGGAAGAUCUCCGUCUUUUACAUCAUCUGACAGUUUCUUUGCACGAGGGCCGUCACCGUUUAGACGUCAAAACAGCUGUUUGUCUCCAAACUUUGAUAUUUAUUUACAUCCAGGCAAACAAGGAAAAAAACAGACGUCGACUUUUCUCUUAUGCCCUCUGGGAGGCGCUACUGUGCCCCCCCAAGAAGAACAAAUAGGAACUCUAACUCAUUUGUCCCCUCGGCGAUCAGGCUGAUGAAGCAGAUUAGUGGCCUGUGUUGGAUUUUAGGGUCUCAGGAUUGUUUCUGUUCUUAUUUUACUUUUUUUAUCUCAUUAUUUUUAUUGUAUUUUAGUUACUCCACUGUGCACCGUACUGCACAUGUAUUUAUAAUCUACUAAUUCAUUCAUCUCUGAUUGGUGGUGCUGACAGGGGAGUGUUUGGGCCGUACGCUGCUGUGAAUGUCUGGUCUUCGUCUGUUCCUGAUCGUUUAACAACAAGGCGGGUUACUGUGGAGUGAACUGACCUUUGGGAAUUAAUAAAGUUGUCUGAAUCUGAAUCUGAAUCUGUUUUAACAGACUAACAACCUCAGGAGGAGUCUGUAUUCAACGCUACAGACGAGCCACAGACAGGCGGAACCAAUGAGAUUAGAUUAGAUACAACUCUAACUAAGACCAAACAAGAUCUUUUUCUUCUGCAGAGGGUUUCGUGUGAUGAUGGUGAAGGGAAAGGGGAGCAGUCCGGUCCUUUAGUCCUUGUUUCUGGCCCCGGCCUUCACGGCCCAGUUCCAGUUGUGCCCUUUUAUCUGGAAAGAAGCGCUGAGAGUCCUGGAAAUGUUUCCGACUUCAGUUUGGAUUAGCGUCAAAUCUGCAGAGCUGCCCUCGUGUCACUUGUGAUUAGGUGUCCUCCAAGAAGAUCUGCGGGAGAAUUCGCUGUGCCCUCUGUACCCCGCACACCCCGGCCAUGCGGUGGAUCCCCUCAGCGGUUAGAUAAUGAGUGAAGAUCUGAGCAUAAGUGACUGUCACAGAACAAACGGGAACUGUACUGGGAGUAAUAAUGACACUGAUACUGCUCAUAAUGGUCUGAUAAUAACACGCUGUAUCAUCCUGAUCACAGCUGACAGUCAGAUAAGAGGAACGAUAACAUGAAUAUAAACAUCCAGAGACACAAACAGGCUCUCCUCCAUCAUGAAGGAGCUCCUGUGAGGCUGAAGAAACCUGGUUCUACCUGAGAUGGGCGUCUCUGAGCUCCAUCAUGCUGCUGGUUCCUCUAGAUCGCUGCUGCUUGUUCUCCAGCUCCUGGAUCCGUCUCACCUCUGUCCAAACUCGUCCAUGUUUUGAGGACAUAACUUUGUGCAGAAGAGAACUUUGCCACCAAGUCAUAGCGCCCAAUCUUCUGUAUCUCUACCUGAAGAGACACCUGCAGGUUUCAUCCCCACCCUGAGACUCCUCUAAGAACCGAAGAUCUCUGACCUUCUACCAAACUCAGAUUCAUUCAUCAGACUGCCGGGUACCAAAGUACUGAUCCAUCACUCUGACCUUCUACUUCCACAUCCAUAAAUCCUCCCCAGCUCCGGGGCACUUCGUCGUACCGCUCUUACCGACACUCGGCAUCAUGUACAACCACGAGAGGCUCGCGUGAAGCUGUCACGCCAUGGAAACCGAUUAGAUGAGAUGAUCUCUUAAUAUAAUAAAAAAAAUCUGUGAUGAAUUUAAAAAUAUGAAAAAGAUGUUUUUUAACGGAUUCCUGCCUAAACCACCUUUAAAUCUGAUUUAGUGAGGCUGGAUUUUUAACCUUUGGCGACAGACAUGCAGAUGGAUAGAUGACGAAGGGUUAAACGGGGACAUGUUAUCUGGUCAUCAUCAUGCAGGUGAUAGUCCGGGCGUGUAAGUACUUCAGUCUUCUCAGCAUUACUAUCAAGUGGGCUUAAUGAAGAAUAACCACGAGCGCUCUUUUCUGUCUCAAAAAUACUUCACAUCUCAAUCCCCCUCCAACCAUCCUCUCAUGAGACGAGCGUCUUUGUCAGGUCUGUCCACGUGGAUUCGAUGGCCACUUCAGGCCGAGCAGGGACUUAAGAGAACUCUGGUCCGGGUUACAAACACGCUGGAGAGCGGUUACAUAACCGAUGACAGCCCUCAGUGGUGAUGCAUGAUCACGACAAGCGUCCUGGUGUGGCGCUGAUACAGUAAAUAAUAGUUAGAGAGGAGACGAGUGGACAGGGAAGACAGAGGGUCAGAGGUCAGACGUGUCUGAGUCAGAAGUUUGGUCGUUUUAAAAAAGCGUCACGGGUCCGAAAGUGAAAUUAACAUCCAGCAAAGACGAGAGCGAGAGACAGAAACAUGAACUCAGCUUCAGUCUGAGAGACUCUCUGAGCUCUUCAGACAUUUUUGUUUAUUUUUUGGAGACUUUUUAUUUUCAUUUGUUGAUCAUUUUGUCUGUGUUCACGCAAAUGGGAUGAUUUUUUUCAGGAUUUUUGUUCUUUUCAAUUUUUAAAAAAUGUGACCGCCCGUUAUUACAUCAGGUCAAUAUUCACUGUGUGACAAUAACACUAUACGCUUAGGUCCUUAAGGUGCUAUAAAAAUAUUAUAUAUUAAUAUUUUUUUCCACUUUUUUUUGCUUAAAUCUUUUUAUCAACUUCAUGCCUGAUCAUUUCUAUCAAAUAUUAAUUAAUUUUCAGAAUUUUAACCCUGUAAAUGUCAAUUUGACUUAAUGUUAUCAGUGUUAUUUUUAAUGGGAAAAAAAAGGAAUUUGUGUUAUUUUCCAUAAAUUAGAUGCUGGGCAGGAAUUUCUUUGUUUUUGUUAUCGAGGUCUAUGAUGUGACAAUAACUGACAACAACAUUAAUUUUGAUGCAAUAUUAUUUCUGAUGUAUUGUCCAAUUUCUAAAAAAAGUAACACCUAGGUCCUUAUGGACAAAAAUGUCCAUCUCCUUAAAGUGCUAUAAAAAUAUUAUACAUUAAUAUUUUUUUCUACUUUUUUUUGCUUAAAUCUUUUAAUCAACUUUGUUCCCGAUCAUAUAUAUCAAAUAUUAAUCCAUUUUGAACAUUUUAAUCCUUUAAAUACUAGUUUGACUACAUGAUGUCAGUGAUAUUUUUAAUGGGAAAAAGGGUUAAAAUUCUGAAAAUUAUAAAAUACUUGAUAGAUAUGAUCAUGAAUGAAGUUGAUUAAAAUAUUUAGGCAAAAAAAAAGUAGAAAAGAAUUUUAAUGUAAAAUAUUUUUAUGGCACUUUCAGGAGAUGGACAUUUUUGUCCAUAAGGACCUAAUCGUAACUUUUUUUAAGGACCCCUGAGGGUAAAAACCACAUCACUGCACCUGCAGAUCUCUGAGUUUGGUGCUUGUAUUAUUUUAUCUAAGUUGAGUAUUUUAGUUUUGUUUCAGGUUCUCAUCAUCAUCUACAAACUCUGUUUCACACACAGUUUAAUUCAGAGCAGUCCUCCAUGUUUCUGAAAGCUGAAGACAUUUACAGUCCGGCUUAUUACUGUACGCUGAUCUCA